rnacentral:rRNA from 1 species
GUAAGAGAAGAUAAGAAUAGUGGUAUCCUGAGUAGGUCGGGGCACGUGAAACCUUGAUUGAAACUGGCGGGACCAUCCGCUAAGGCUAAAUACUCCUGAGAGACCGAUAGUGAACCAGUACCGUGAGGGAAAGGUGAAAAGAACCGUGAAUAACGGAGUGAAACAGAUCCUGAAACCAUACGCCUACAAGCGGUCGGAGCCCUUUUGUGGGGUGACGGCGUGCCUUUUGCAUAAUGAGCCUACGAGUUACCGUUGCUGGCAAGGAUAAGUGAUUAAGUCAUGGAUCCGUAGCGAAAGCGAGUCUUAAUAGGGCGCUUAAGUCAGUAGUGGUAGACGCGAAACCGUGUGAUCUACCCAUGGGCAGGUUGAAGUUUAGGUAACACUAAAUGGAGGACCGAACCGUUUAACGCUGAAAAGUUUUCGGAUGACCUGUGGGUAGGGGUGAAAGGCCAAUCAAACUCGGAAAUAGCUCGUACUCCCCGAAAUGCAUUUAGGUGCAGCGAUGAUCGAUAGUUACUUAGAGGUAGAGCUACUGAUUGGAUGCGGGGGCUUCACCGCCUACCAAUUCCUGACAAACUCCGAAUGCUAAGUAAUGAUAAUCAUCAGUGAGGGCAUGGGUGCUAAGGUCCAUGUCCGAGAGGGAAAGAACCCAGACCAUCAGCUAAGGUCCCCAAAUGUAUGCUAAGUUGAAAAAACGCGGUUUGAUUGCCCAGACAGCUAGGAUGUUGGCUUGGAAGCAGCCAUUCAUUUAAAGAGUGCGUAACAGCUCACUAGUCGAGCGAUCGAGCAUGGAUAAUAAUCGGGCAUAAGUAUACUACCGAAGCUAUGGAUUUGCGCAUUUAGUUGCGUGAGUGGUAGGGGAGCAUUCUAACGGCGCAGAAGGUGAUUUGUGAGAAUUGCUGGAGCUUUUAGAAAAGAAAAUGUAGGCAUAAGUAACGAUAAGGGGUGCGAGAAACACCCCCGCCGUAAGACUAAGGUUUCCUCAGCUAUGCUAAUCAGCUGAGGGUUAGUCGGGACCUAAGGCACACCCGAAGGGGGACGUCGAUGGCCAACGGGUUAAUAUUCCCGUACUACUGAUAAUUGUGAUGGAGUGACACAGUGAUGAAAGCACCGCGAACUGACGGAAUAGUUCGUUGAAGCACGUACCUAUAGGUUUGAUAGUAAAAUGCGUCAGACUUGGAGAAAUGCGAUAGUACUUUGAGUCUUCGGACAACGAGAUAGUGUGCCUAAGGGCUGUCAAGAAAAGCUUCUAAACUUAGAUUAUUAGUACCCGUACCGUAAACCGACACAGGUAGUCGAGGAGAGUAUCCUAAGGCGCUCGAGAGAUUCAUGGCUAAGGAACUAGGCAAAAUAGACCUGUAACUUCGGGAGAAAGGUCGCCAGCGCAAGCUGGCCGCAGUGAAAAGGUCCAGGCGACUGUUUAUCAAAAACACAGGGCUCUGCAAAAUCGUAAGAUGACGUAUAGGGCCUGACACCUGCCCGGUGCUGGAAGGUUAAGAGGAGAUGUUAUC